rnacentral:rRNA from 1 species
AUGUGCCUACGGGGCGCAGCAGUGAGGAAUAUUGGUCAAUGGGCGAGAGCCUGAACCAGCCAAGUCGCGUGAGGGAGUACUGCCCUAUGGGUUGUAGACCUCUUUUGUCGGGGAGCAAAAGCCGGACGUGUCCGGCUGUGUGAGUACCCGAAGAAAAAGCAUCGGCUAACUCCGUGCCAGCAGCCGCGGUAAUACGGAGGAUGCGAGCGUUAUCCGGAUUUAUUGGGUUUAAAGGGUGCGCAGGCGGAUUUUUAGUUCAGCGGUCAAAUCGUGGGGCUCAACCCCAUCCAGCCGUUGAAACUGGG